rnacentral:rRNA from 1 species
AGUUAACGUUGGCGGCGUGCCUAACACAUGCAAGUCGAACGCGUCCUAAGGGCAACUUUAGGAUGAGUGGCGAACGGGUGAGUAUCACGUGGGUAAUCUUCCUUUAAGUGGGGAAUAAGCUCUCGAAAGGGAGUCUAAUACCGCAUGACAUUCCGGGACACAAGUCCCGUAAUCAAAGCCGCAAGGCGCUUGAAGAUGAGCCUGCGUCCUAUUAGCUAGUUGGUGGGGUAACGGCCUACCAAGGCUCAGAUGGGUAGCCGGCCUGAGAGGGUGAACGGCCACACUGGGACUGAGACACGGCCCAGACUCCUACGGGAGGCAGCAGUGAGGAAUUUUGCGCAAUGGGGGAAACCCUGACGCAGCGACGCCGCGUGGAGGAUGAAGGCCUUCGGGUCGUAAACUCCUGUCAGAGGUGAAGAAUGCCCGCAAGGGUUUGACGGUAACCUCAGAGGAAGCCCGGCUAACUACGUGCCAGCAGCCGCGGUAAUCGAUACUCGUA